UACACGCCUAAAGGAAUCAAACUAAGGUUGGGGAUCGAAUUGGCAAGGAGCAUUGCAAAGGUAAUUUGCAAGAGGUUGGUGGUAAAGUGACACCAAGCGAAGGACAGUCUCGCAAU